GACGGAGGGUGCAAGCGUUGUUCGGAAUUACUGGGCGUAAAGCGCGGGCAGGUGGCCUUUUAAGUCCUUUGUGAAAUUCCGGAGCUCAACUCCGGAUGUGCAUAGGAUACUGGAAGGCUAGAGACUGGUAGAGGCGAGCGGAAUUCCUGGUGUAGCGGUGGAAUGCGUAGAUAUCGAGAGGAACACCUGCGGCGAAGGCGGGUUGCUGGGCUGAUACUGACGCUGAGGCGCGAAAGCCAGGGGAGCGAACGGG
rnacentral:rRNA from 1 species